rnacentral:misc_RNA from 1 species
AGCAGCCGCGGUAAUUCCAGCUCCAAUAGCGUAUAUUAAAGUUGUUGCAGUUAAAAGCUCGUAGUUGAAUUUCGGGAUCAAUUAAUUGGUCGUGCCUCUGGUACGUACUGAUUUUAUUGGUUUCUCCCUUCUGACGAACCAUGAUGUCAUUAAUUUGGUGUCGUGGAGAAUCAGGACUGUUACUUUGAAAAAUUAGAGUGUUUAAAGCAAGCUAACGCUUGAAUACAUUAGCAUGGAAUAAUGAAAUAGGACGUUUGAUCCUAUUUUGUUGGUUUCUAGGAUCGACGUAAUGAUUAAUAGGGAUAGUUGGGGGCAUUAGUAUUCAAUUGUCAGAGGUGAAAUUCUUGGAUUUAUUGAAGACUAACUACUGCGAAAGCAUUUGCCAAGGAUGUUUUCAUUAAUCAAGAACGAAAGUUAGGGAUCGAAGACGAUCAGAUACCGUCGUAGUCUUAACCAUAAACUAUGCCGACUAGGGAUCGGAUGAUGUUAAUUUUUUAAUGACUCAUUCGGCGCCUUAC